CAGCAGCCGCGGUAAUACGUAGGGUGCAAGCGUUAAUCGGAAUUACUGGGCGUAAAGCGUGCGCAGGCGGUUUGUUAAGACAGAUGUGAAAUCCCCGGGCUCAACCUGGGAACUGCAUUUGUGACUGGCAAGCUAGAGUGUGGCAGAGGGGGGUGGAAUUCCGCGUGUAGCGGUGAAAUGCGUAGAGAUCUGGAGGAAUACCGGUGGCGAAGGCGGCCCCCUGGACAAAGACUGACGCUCAGGUGCGAAAGCGUGGGGAGCAAACAGGAUUAGAUACCCGAGUAGUCCCUGUCUCUUAUAC
rnacentral:rRNA from 1 species